rnacentral:rRNA from 1 species
UACAGAGGUCCCAAGCGUUGUUCGGAUUCACUGGGCGUAAAGGGUGCGUAGGCGGUCGGGUAAGUCUGAUGUGAAAUCUCACAGCUUAACUGUGAAACUGCAUUGGAUACUAUUCGGCUUGAGAGUUGGAGGGGGGACUGGAAUUUUUGGUGUAGCAGUGAAAUGCGUAGAUAUCAAGAGGAACACCAGUGGCGAAGGCGAGUCCCUGGACAACUUCUGACGCUGAGGCACGAAAGCUAGGGGAGCAAACAGG